ensembl:snRNA U2 U2 spliceosomal RNA
AUCUCUUAUCGGCCUUUUGGCUAAGAUCAAGUGUAGUAUCAGUUCUUAUCAGUUCAAUCUCUCCCAGUAGCACUGAGAAUCAAGCUGAAACACAUGCACCUUUGGGGGGGAUUCUAGUUCCAAACUGUGUCAUGAAACUCGAAGUCCAAGGUGUCAGUAGGUUUGAUCCCUUCUGAAGGUGCUCCUGGAGAAUCUGUUCCAGGAUUUCAUCCUAGCUUCU